UACGAAGGGGGCUAGCGUUGCUCGGAAUUACUGGGCGUAAAGGGCGCGUAGGCGGACAGUUUAGUCAGAGGUGAAAGCCCAGGGCUCAACCUUGGAAUAGCCUUUGAUACUGGCUGUCUUGAGUUCGGGAGAGGUGAGUGGAAUGCCGAGUGUAGAGGUGAAAUUCGUAGAUAUUCGGCGGAACACCAGUGGCGAAGGCGACUCACUGGCCCGAUACUGACGCUGAGGCGCGAAAGCGGUGGGGAGCAAACAGG
rnacentral:rRNA from 1 species